rnacentral:rRNA from 1 species
AGGACGAACGCUGGCGGCGUGCUUAACACAUGCAAGUCGAGCGGAAAGGCCCUUCGGGGUACUCGAGCGGCGAACGGGUGAGUAACACGUGAGCAACCUGCCCUUAGCUUCGGGAUAGCUCCGGGAAACCGGAAUUAAUACCGAAUAUGACCAAGGCCGACAUCAGCCUUGGUGGUAAAGUUUUUCGGCUAGGGAUGGACUCGCGGCCUAUCAGCUAGUUGGUGAGGUAACGGCUCACCAAGGCGACGACGGGUA